AAUAGAAACUGGUAGCCUGCAACAAAUUAUCAGAUUUACGUCACGUUACUUGUUAUAAAAGAAUCGAAUCCCGAACACUAAAUAUCAGUUAUUCGCAAUCGUUUAAGGAGCGAUCAGAAUUGAGCAAUCAACAUGAAGAAUAUUGUUGUAAUUUCGGCUUUCGUGAUGAUGAUGGUCCUUGUCGCCCAUCUUGGUACCGUGGAAGCGGGAGGGUUUAGUUUGGGCUGUACCAUAUCCUGCGGAAUAUGGAACGCUUGCCGUGGAAAGUCCGCUUUUUCUGGAAGCCUCACCCAAUGUGGACCAGAACCUUCAGGCUGUCGCUGUACUUCUUUUUAUUGGGAAUAACCCAAAAUCAGUAUUUUGCAGAAAAUAUUUAUUUCUAAUUUAAGAUUAUGUAUUUUUUUAAUAAAAAUUGUUUGAUUUAA